rnacentral:rRNA from 1 species
ACGGAAGGCAGCAGUGGGGAAUAUUGGGCAAUGGGCGCAAGCCUGAUCCAGCAAUGCCGCGUGAAGGAAGAAGGCUUUCGGGUUGUAAACUUCUUUUAAGUGGGACGAUAAUGACGGUACCACUUGAAUAAGCUCCGGCUAACUACGUGCCAGCAGCCGCGGUAAUACGUAGGGAGCAAGCGUUAUCCGGAUUUACUGGGUGUAAAGGGCGUGUAGGCGGGACUGCAAGUCAGAUGUGAAAGCACGAGGCUCAACUUCGUGUCUGCAUUUGAAACUGUAGUUCUUGAGUGUUGGAGAGGCUAACGGAACUCCUAGUGUAGCGGUGAAAUGCGUAGAUAUUAGGAAGAACACCAGUGGCGAAGGCGGUUAGCUGGACAAUAACUGACGCUGAGGCGCGAAAGCGUGGGUAGCAAACAGGAUUAGAUACCCUGGUA